rnacentral:rRNA from 1 species
GUCUACAGCCAUGCCAACCUGAACAAGUCCGAGCCUGUCUGAUCUCGGAAGCUAAACAGGGUCGGGCCUGGUUAGUACUUGGAUGGGAGACCACUUAGGAAGACCAGGUGCUGUAGGUG